rnacentral:rRNA from 1 species
CCCUCUGGGGUGCAGCAGCAAGCGGUACGGGAGAUACAAAAUAUUCUGGUGGCAACGGAGGAGACGGAGAUAAUUUGGCUAGUGACACCGGGGGAGGUGGAGGUGGAGCGGGAAAUGCUGCAAAUGGUGGUAGCGCUGCAAAUGAAACAGCUGGUGUUGGUGGUUCUUAUGGUGGUGGAAAUGGUGCUGCAGGAUUAACUUCAGCUGGAAAUGGAACUGUCGGAUUUACAAUUGGUGGUGGGGGUAGUGGUGGAGGUGCAGGAAUUGGCGGGAGAGC